AUCUCUGAUUAACAGCCAGAAAUAGGCUAAGGUAACAGAUGCUCAAAUCUCAGCAUCUUAGCCCAACCCAGUUCAUUUCUCACUGAAACUACAUGUCCAGUGGGACUGAGGAAGAUGCCACCAUUUUAUAGCUUCAGCAUCUGUUACACAUCGCCUCCAAGUCUAUUAUAGCAAGAAAGAGAGCGUCGUGGAAAGAAGGGUACCUGAUGUAAUCUAAUGCUGUGCACACAGUUGACAACUGACCAAUGUCGUCAACAGCAGCAACUGUAUCAGCUUGUCUCAUACAACCUAUAAGUCUCUCAAACUGCAAAUGAACAGAGAGAGAGAAAGAGAGAGAGAGAAAGGCAUUUUCUGUCUGAAAUGAAUUGACCAACCAUGAAAAAUAGCUAAAACAGGACCUGCUCCUGGAAGGUGUGUUGAGAGGACUUUCUUCAGGGCAAGGACAUUAUUGUAGGCACGAGGCAAGCUGUUCACUCAGCCGUUGCUGUCCGUUCCUGGUCCCGGGAAGUCAUCUGGAGGAGCAUGCAGUGAUGCUUCCAAUGUUUGUCAAGGUAUCAUAAUGGCCCACUUUUUAAAAAUCCAAGAAGCCUUUGGGCAUUAUCUGGGACUUAGACAAAGAAGGUAAAAAGAAGCUUAACCAGGACCUGACAGUGGCCCCCAGUUACUGAGAGUAGCCCGCAGCCAACAACCAUCAAGAGAUGGAGGUCUCAGUCCAGAAAUUUCAGGAAACUGAAUUCUUCCAACAACCUGGAAGAGGAUUGCAAAUUACAGAUGAGAACACAGCUCCAGAGGAUACUUUGCUGCUAGCCUGACCUGUCAUCUCUCCCUGGGAUCAGAUUCUUACAGAAUUUUUGGAGAGCCCAAGAAGAUAAUAAUGGACUGGAGACCAAAGGAUGUAGGACCUACCAUGUGGGAAGCACCUGAAAUAGUGAAGUCUGUGUUUAAGAUCUUGAUUCCUGUUUCACUGAGAAGAUUGAUUCAACCAGAAGAGAAUUUCAACUCCUACCACCACAUCAACUAUCCAUCUGCAUCAACCUUCUAUUACUUGAAGUGCCUGUGCUCUGAGAAAAGGCCAACCCCUAUAAGGCAGGUUGACCCUCUGAAUUAAAUUGUCUCCAGCCUUAUCCCUGCAUGGUCCUAUCCUUCUGAAUCCUCACCAUACAUUAUGACUAGUUUUG